CAGUAGCCGCGGGAAUACGUAGGGUGCAAGCGUUAAUCGGAAUUACAGGGCGUAAAGCGUGCGCAGGCGGUUUGUUAAGACAGAUGUGAAAUCCCAGGGCUUAACCUGGGAACUGCAUUUGUGACUGGCGAGCUAGAGUAUGGCAGAGGGGGGUAGAAUUCCACGUGUAGCAGUGAAAUGCGUAGAGAUGUGGAGGAAUACCGAUGGCGAAGGCAGCCCCCUGGGCCAAUACUGACGCUCAUGCACGAAAGCGUGGGGAGCAAACAGGAUUAGAUACCCCCGUAGUCCCUGUCUCUUAUAC
rnacentral:rRNA from 1 species